UUGCCGCACAGAGACGCCCACCACCUCCUUCUGAUUUAUUUCCACCUAAAUAUUUUCACGCGCCUCUGCACGGCUCAUUAGGCCUGAAGUGUGUGUGUGUGUGUGUGUGUGACUAGUACUAUAAAAGGACUAGUGACAGCGGUGUUUGGAAGCAGCAACGUGGAGGCGGUGGCGGAGAUAAUUAUAAUUGUUGACGCGGGACAGGAGGCCAGUGUGGAGGGCGUGUACAGAGGCAGACGGCACUAGUGGUUAAGCUGUGCGCGUUCAGAGUGUUGGCGAGUCGAUGAGGAUAGUAUGGAGGCCUUCAGUGUCGUUAGAGAGAAGGUGCAUCGCCUCGUGUCUCGUGUUCACGGAGUGGAUUGGUGGUGGCGAGGGUGGCGGGUGGUGGGCAUGCGCGAUCACGGCUGUGAGCUGAGAGCCUCUCAGAGUAUAGGCGACUGGAGUCCCUAAGCCAUGAAGUGAAUGGCGUGUGGCGGUGUGGUGAAGCGUGGGGUGUCCCUCGAUCUGGUGCUGAGCGCGGUACUUGGUUUUGACUUACUGCCUAAACACGGGCUUACUGAUGGCUGUGACACGCACCAAGGGCGAUAAUGGCGAUGCCAGGAAGGAAAACCUGUGCUAAGUUCUGAGGUGCGGUGACAAAAUUGCUGUGUUGUGAGUGAAUAAAAUUCGUUCCGUAAGCCGCGGCCGCCUGUCACUGAUGUUCUGCUGUUACGUUGUUGUUGCCGUGAUUCAGUUACACAGUGAAAGAGAUCGUCGUGAUCCCAGUGCAGUACUGUAAUGCCGUGCUGCCGGGAGUGUUGCCGUGCUGCCUUGCUGCCAGGAAGUGCUGUCGUGUGCUGGGAAGUGUUGCCGCGCUGCCGGCAGGAGUAAGUGGACCUGCUGGUGGACUACAGGCUGAACACAAGCAUUGACAAGCAGUACAGGGCAUUUCAUGAUGGCUUCUGCAGGGUGUGGGACGGUAGUGCUCAAACUUUUCCAGCCAGUGGAACUUAUGGACUUGGUCACCGGCAAUGAAAAUUAUUUCUGGACUGAGUUGGAAAAGAAUGCUGAAUAUAAAAUUAAGUUAGUUAAGGGUGAGUACUUCCCAGACCAUCCAGUCACUCGCAUGUGUUGGGAAGUCUUUCGCGAGCUCUCGCUGGAACAGAAAAUGUUUUCAAGUUUCUGACGGGGACUCACCAGGUUCUUCUACUAGGCAUGCCUGCACCACACCUGCCAGAGAAGGAUGUCCCAAGGCUGCCUCCCAAUGUCACCUUUUCCUGUCUCCGUCGCUCCAUCUUAGCAUACCUCACUUGCUCAUCCAACUGCUGCCUGCAAGGUGGAGAAUGUUUACACCUGGAAACGUUGCAAUAAAUGAAGAAGGAGAAUGUUUACACCUGGAAACGUUGCAAUAAAUGAAGAAGGAAG